GUUCUUCUCCCAGUGUGUGCUGCACCACCAUGAUCAUUUUCACUGUACUGCUGCUCUCUGCUCUUACAGGUAACAGAGCUGAAGGCGUCAUCACUCCUAGCAGAGAUGCUGUUUUUGCUGUUGAAGGUCAGAAUGUUACCCUCUCCUGUAACUACACUGUAAGUGCUGAUAGUCUUCACUGGUAUCGACAGUAUUCAGGCUCUCCUCCCCAGUUCCUCAUACUGGACUAUGCAGGGAGCAUUACUGAAGCUCAACCUCCAGUUCCUGGAAUAUUCAUCAACCAUCAAAAAGGAAUAAAAAAAGUGGAUCUGGAGAUCUCCUCUACUGCAGUAUCAGACUCUGCUCUCUACUACUGUGCUCUGAGGCCCACAGUGACAGGAAACCCACCAAACACUGUACUAAAACCUUUCUUGUGAAAUAUGUAGAAACACUGAUAUUUCAGGAGGGGGCGCUGUAAUUCUACAGCUGAAAUUCUAGAGGUAAUAUUCUGUAAUGAGAUGAAGCGCCAAAAAACACUUAAAACACCUUCUGCGGUGUGGGCAGUGUGCCAAGUCCUGCUGGAAAAUGAAAUAUGCAUCUCCAUAAAAGUUGUCAGUAGCAGAGGGAAGCAUAAAGUGCUGUAAGAUUUUGUGGGAAAACAAAACUGCACUGACUU